ACUUAAAUAGCUUAUAAAGAGCAUGAUAUUGAAGAUAUCAAGGUAAUAGUAUUAUUUUUAAGUA
rnacentral:tRNA from 1 species